AAUAACCAAAUAUAACACUAGUAUUAAGAGUCAAAUUGGCAAUUUUUCUUACAUCUCCACCUCUUGAAUCCUAGGUAUUGUAUACGCCCCUAAAAUAAAGAGCCUUGAAUCCUAGGUAUUGUAUACGCCCCUAAAUUAAGUGAAUACCCAAAAUUGUGGUAAUUUUAUUUCUAUCUUUCCA
rfam:Gossypium hirsutum cultivar TM-1 chromosome 1, whole genome shotgun sequence